rnacentral:lncRNA from 1 species
UUAGAUCGAGUGGACGGACAGGUACGGGGUGAGGGUUUUUCUUUCUUUAGCGUGCGAGCGGUGGAUAGGACGUACGGUGACGGCGGCGCCCGUACCAUCACUAUCAACUGCAAUCUAAUACUCCCUCCGUUCCUAAAUACUUGUCGUUGUUUUCGUGCAAACUUGCCUCCGUUCCUAAAUACUUGUCGCUACUCGAAAAGGCUGAUGCUGACAUUUGUUUAGGAAUGGAGGGAGCAGAUAGUAAUAGACUAGAAAAGGCAGUCAUGUGAAUCUCAGGUUAUGUUAGUAGGCUAGAUAUCAUGAUAAUAAAUUAUAAUGCAAUAUUAAAGUUUUGCAUGAUUGUUGCAUCGAUACUCGAAUUAAAGUUUUGAUCAUUUGAGCUGACAUUUGUUUUCUACAUAAUUUUUUACUGAUAUUUCGUAAGGACGUGUUUGGUUCGCUAGCAGACCAUUCGUUCGCACAUGAUGCUAAAUUAAUAGUAAGAGUUAAUCUGAGACCACGUGCAAUGCAAUCCACAAUUUUUAACAGCAAUAUUGGUAUGUAGUGUAAUAGUUCUUCAAAUACUGUUAGCUACUCAUCUUUACAAAACUAUAGAUUGCAACAAAUCGAAAUUAGAGGUCGUGCAUAGAUCAAAUUCAUCUUACUAACAAUAAAUUCGUACGCAGAAUUAUAGUUUUCCAAAUACUAUUAACAACACAUUCUUGAAAAAAAUAUAAGCACACAAUGAAUGGAGCUAGAGUUGCUACUUCUAUUAAUAUUCUCAUGAUUCAAGAAUAAAAAGAAGAGAAACAAAGUAGGAGGGUCAUAACGUAUUGAUUUCCAACGGUGAAUAAAUAUUGUGCUACAACUAAUAUAAUAUAUUUGGUCUAUGUUGAUGUUUGGACGCUGAUACAAGGUGCCCGUGCACUAUUAGGUUUUCCAGGGUGCACACCCAAAAAAGGUAGGUACUGGUCCCCCGUUUCCUAAAGAGGUAAGUUUUGGUUCCUUUACGGCAUGUCGUGCGUCCGCCCACAAUAAAUGCGUCCAACCACGAGUUUUUGCGUUGUCAUGCUCCUAGCUGCCACGACAGGCCCGAGCCAGGUAAAAGUUUCCUUCGGCCAAAAAAGCGAAAAUCAAAGGCUAAAAACAAGCAAAAGUACGAUAGCAUCUUCUCCUCCUGUCACCUCCGAUCCCAUCUCCCUCCUUACCUCCAGGGCUCGUUCCAGCCCUUUUUCCCCUCUCCUCUCCCAUUCUUAUCGCCAUGAAUCUUACUUGAAAAACACCACAAGUUGACCCCCUCCCCCUACAGGUAAAUUUGCUGCAGGUAUUAAAUAACACACUUCUUCCUCCUCCCUAGAAACAAAUUAGGAACAAAUUGUUGCUCAAAACCUGGAAUAUAAGUUGCUUAGACUACCAACUAAAUGUAACUUUUUUUUGACAUAAAAACCUAGAAACUCAUUGGGAAAAGCUUCUAACUAAAACAUGGAAAAUGAAAAGGCAAAAAACAAAAUGCUUGAUAAUGCAGAAAUUGCUUAAAAAUGAAUAUAUAAUACAAUUUCUAGUCAAUUGUUGACAGGUGCAAGUUUUACGCAAAAACAUUGUCUCUAUAAUACAAUUUCUAGUCAACUGGGCAGGUUAGAGAAGCAACUGUAUGCUAAAAGGCAGCAAAGGCGUUAAUAGUGUUGCAACUUCUGAUACAAAAUUUAGCUAGGAGAUGCAACUUUUACUCAAAAUAUUUUUGAGUAGUUCAAAAGAGCAACUAAUUAUGACUCUUCAAAGUGCAAUUUCUGGUCAAUUCCGAAGGUUAGAGAAGCAACUAUAUGCUAAAAAGCAGAAAAGGGUAUAUAUGUGUACCAACUUCUAAUUCACAAAUGUAGCUAGGGGAUGCAACUUUUAAUCAAAAAAAGUUGAGUGGAUACAACUUUUACUCAAUUUCAAAAGUUAGAGAAGCAACUAUAUGCUAAAAAGCAGAAAAGGUAUAUAUGUGUAGCAACUUAUAAUUCAGAAAUGUAGCUAAUGGAUGCAACUUAUACUCAAAAAAAGUUGAGUGGAUACAACUUGUACUAAAAAAAAGUUGAGUGGCUGAAAAAACAACUAAUUACAACAUGCGAAAGGUGGUAAAAGCAAAUUUUAAGCAAAAAUAUGCUCUCUAAUACAAUUUCUAGUCAAUUGGACAUGUCAGAGAAGCAACUAUAUGCUAAACAUCAGAAAAGGGGUAAAAAUUAUUGCAACAUCUAGUUCAAAACUAGCUGAUGCAACAUUUACUAGAAAAUAGUUGCUUACUACAUCAACUUGUGGAAAGCAUCGUGUUAUACCCUAAAUAGUGAUGUAAAUUAACAAAGGCAAAAAUGAAUGCUCGUAAAAUGCAACUUCCCCUUGCUUUACAACAAAAGGCCAGAGCGAAAUCAGACCCUAGAACCCAAAACCAAAUCAAAUAAUCCCAGUGGAGGAUUGGGACAGCUUAAUUAGCAUAAAUUCGUAUUCAAAAGUUGCGCUGCAUCCCCCAUGGCAGAACUAUGGUCAGUCAAUCAAAACCUGAAGCAAUUCCUAAAUCGAAGCAUGCCUAAUCAGUCAAGGAAAAACUGCGAGACACACCCAUGGACAGUAGAUUGCAUCAGAUUUAAAUGCAAAAAAUGUACGACCAGGUAAUUCAAACCUUAUGACGCAGUAAAAUGCAAGAUAAUUAGCCCGUAAUUUAGCUAAAGAAAUGCAUAUUCAUAAGAAACAUAAUGACCACCCAAGCUGCUUGUAAUCAACAUAACUGCUGACCCUCCUAGUUUACAUGCAACAGUCCUAAGAUGAGCAGCAAAAAGAAUGGACAGCUAAAUUCCCCCAAUGACCAAACAGGUUGGGAUCCUUUUAUUUUGAAACAAUGGGUUUUCCCCAUCGAUUUCUAUUAUCGAAACUGCAAACAGAGUCUUUAAACUAAAAACUAAAAACAAGUAAUACAAGGAAAUGAAGCUCCCAACAUGCUGAGAGUACCUCCUACCGAGCAAAACUUGCCUAGCAGAAAACAAGAAAAAUGCAAACAACCAGCAAGCUGAAACAGGUUGGUUCUACUUCUAGAUAGAACUACGGGGUUUGAUUUGAGCUAAAACCUUAGUUUAACACCACUGCUUUUCCAACCAAAAUAAGGACAACACAAGGAGAAGCAAACAUCUCCCCGCAACCCCAUCGAACGGUGGCAAAAUCAGUGUGCGGGGGCAACAUCGACAGCCAAAAACAAGCGCGCGUAGAAAGGGUACAGAAUCGACAACAUCAAGUAAUCCUAGACAUGCAAAUCAACAUGACAUGCGUAGAUACCUGGUUGGGGAGAGGACUAACCAUGGAUAUCUGGUGAAUCAUUGUGCUCAUUCCGCCCGCCAAGCUCGUGCAGCCCCACCAUCGAUGCACCCGCAGCGCUUAGAUCAGCAGUCCCGCGCUGCUCGCUCAACCCACAGCAACGCGCCGUGCGACAUGCAGAAGCCCUCCACACGCCGCCUGCCUGCAACCCCCCUAUCACGCUCGCCGUUGGUUGUUCGAUGCCGCGAUUAAACCUAGAACCCACGUCUUGACAGAAAAAUGCAGUACAAAAUCCCCAGAAGCAGUACCUAAUAUGCACUCCGGUUCUUCUUUUACAUACAUAAAAUCCAUUCGAAUGACAUAACAAAUCUCAUUAAAACCUCCCGGUAAAUCUGCACGAAGAAACCGUUCAACUCUACGGAGGGGAUCAGCUCCUAGAACCCUCAUCCUAGAAAUCUACGAAACAUUGGUCCAAAAAUUGCUUACAUCCGGGCGUUUUGGGGAGGGUGUGAGAAGGAUGAACUAAUCGUCGAAACUCGAGGCAGCAGUAGUGCCGUGCUCGAUGCGCCCGUCGAAUUCAGUUCAGCGUGCUCGAUUCGCCGCACACGCUGGAUGCGAACCACCAUGGUCCGAUUCGACCCACUUCACGCAGCCCGCGGCACCACGCCUGCGACAUGCAGAGGCCCCUGCAUCCCCGUUCCUGGCAACUCACCGGUGCAGCUCGCGCAUCGGCCAAAUCGCCGGUUACUCUGGCACCUCCCAGCCGCCGCCUGUCUCGACCGCAGGGCGACGACCGCCCACCUCUUCCGCAGCAUCUCUCUCCCGUGCGGCUGAAAACACCAGCGCAAAGCAAAUCGCCCCACGAGCGGACUCACAUGCGACCGUCAGGGGAAAACAGAGAAGAAAAUGGGGAAUUGGGGGUGGGGGACGGGCAGGAAGGGGACCACCUUCAGGAUGUGGCACGGCCGCACGGGAAAUGGAGAUGUCUGAAGCAAUCGGACAAUGCGCAUCGUCCAGGAGAAAAUGAGCGGUUCGUAACCCUGUGUGCCGGUGUCCUCGAACAAGUGCACAGUCACUUUUAAGCAAUUGGGUUGAUGUUUUAUAUCUUGACCAUUAUAUAUAGAAUCUAAUAGUUUAAAUAAUCUAGAUAAUCAUCUUGAUCAAUGUCGUCUUUUCUCUCUAAACCACGUAGUGUGUUUUUAUAACAUGAUGGUUUACAUAACCAGGUGACUCGCAUUAGAUUGAUUGAUACAUUUGUAGGUGAUAUUAGUUAAUUAUUUGUAAUUAAAUUUUGGAUCACCUAUCAAUCUCAGGUCUUCAUCUCAUAUAUCACAUCCAUACACAAUAUUAAAGCUCAUCUUCUAUAUCUAAGUAGAAGCAACUCAAUACUUGAUUUCUCUAAACAUAUAAGCAUGCCACAUCAUCACAUAAUUAAUUUGUUCACACCUAUUUAUAUUUAGGGGAAAACUAAUACUUUUGCACAUGCAUGCAUGUUAUUUCCAUCAAGCUAUUCCCACUAGGCGAAGAAUGUACAAUUUUAUUAUAUGUUUUCAUUUUGAAUAGUUUUUAUGUUAACUAAAAAUUUCCGCAACAAUGUGCGGGGUAUCAUCUAGUAUGAGAAAUUGAGGGAUCAAUCGUUUGCACCGAUAUAUCAUGUAUAUGUCAAAUUCACGUAAUUAUUAAGUGUUUGGUUCGCUAGCGAGUCAUUCAUCUGAAUCUCAUAUUUAUUAGUAGCCGUUGUUGAAAUUAGGGUCAUGUGUUGAUAUGUAGAGUUAUAAUUCUUCAAAUAGCUCUUAAUAUAUUAUUCUUGAAAAAAAAUGGAUAUAUAUAUUUUUGACUAAUAGACUUAGAUUAUCAUUUAAUUAGUAUGUUAUGUAUGUCGCCAUAAAAAAAGUUAACUUAAUUACCACUAAUGAUAUGUAACAUCCCAAAAUUUUCAAACUUCGUAUCAUGCCUUUGCAUUCAUAAGCAUCAUGCCACCUAUGCAUUUUAACCACUUUCAAAACCUUGGUUUUAAAAUUUAAAUCCCCUUUUCAAAGCUUUCGUUAUUUGAAUAUUGACUUUCACCUCCCUUUUGCAAAUUGGAAUUCUACCCAAUAGGGUUUUGAACAUAGAAGGGGUUUAUUGCAUUAAUGAGCUACCCAUAAUUUUUGGUAUUUAAAUUGGAGUUGAAAAACUAUUUUAAUUUGUUAUUUAUAAAGCCCUAAAGGCAAUUAUACAAGCAAAACUAUUUUUAAAUAUUUUAUUUUGAUGGAAAUCAAGUCCUAGACGCUAAGGAAUUUGAGGAUGUGAUUUUACAAUUUUUCUAGAAUUUAUUUGGUUUGAUUUGGAGUUCAAAAUCAAAAGUUACAAAGGAAAACAAAAAAGGAAAGGGGAAAAGAAAAAAAAGAACAAAAAAAAGAGAACCAGACCGGCCCGGCCAAAUGGGCCGACCGAACUAGGCCGCAGCCCCGCCAGCCCAGCAGCCGUGCGCCCGAGCGAACCAAGCCGCAGCCCCGCCAGCCCCGCAGCCGUUCGCGCGAUCCAGCCGCUGACAGGCGGGCCCUGCCUGUCAGGGUCGUCUUCCCUGAAGGAAGGCGCCGGCAAUCCCGCACGCUGAAUCUGCGGCCACCGUCUCCGUCGUCUCGUCCGCGCCGUGCCCCCCCCCCCCCCGACUUUCCAAGCGCGUCAUUAUAAAGGCCGGGGCUCCCUCACCAUUUUACCCCUCUCUCCCUUGCUCAUCUCGCGCCCAUGCCACCGAAAUUUCUUGCCGCCGUUUGCUACGGCCGCCGCCGUGUUUCGCUCGCCGCCGACGAACCGAAGGGUAAGCGCCGCCCCCAUCUCGUGCAUCUGCUUCCCCUUUUCCUUUCGCGCAUUUUGACGCGACCAGUUUUGUUUUGGUGCCCCGCAGCCUCGCCCAUGUCGACCGCCUGAAGUUCACUGUCGAGCCGCCGCUCCUCGUCGACCUAGACGUCGCCGUCGUCAUCCCCGAAGAGCGCCGCCGCCGUCAUAUCCUUCACCGAACCGUGACGCACCUAGCCCGCACUUUCCUGAGCCCAGGAACUCACCGGAGUCGCCCGCACCGCCGUUCCCGAAUCGCCGCCGCCAUCACGCCAUCGCUUGAAACCUAAGCCGCCGUCGGAGUUGAGGCAGGCCACCUCCCGUCCGUCCGAUCGCCAUCAACGGCCUAGAUUAGACCUAUUUAUUCGAAAGGGUAUUUUUAGAUCUUAGCCGUCCAUCGCCACUUAAGUAAAAUCCAACGGCCCCCGUUUUAUCCUUAACCAAACCGGUACCAGCGAAUGAGAAACUGCCACGUGUCACCUAAUUUUGUAAAAAACAUUUCCCCGGCCGAAUUAAAUGGUUCUUUUGCAAAAACACCUCUGUAACUUGAAAUGAUCACAUCUUUUAAAAUGUUUGGCCAAAUUUGACAAACCACACCUUUCUGGAAUCCUCUUGAAGAGUACAAUCUUUUGGCACUGUUUAAAUUCAUUUUUGUUUAACUGAAACUAGGCAAAUUUACAGAAUUAUUUUUAAUGCUUUUUAAUUCAUAUCAAUUGCUUUAAAAAUCCUUUUUGCAUGAGACCAACUUUCAAAAUCCUAAUUUUGUGUCCUAUGUCCAGUGGGGCCAGAGAGUUUAACUUUUGAAAAUAAUUUGUUGACUAAUCCCUUAAAAACCUCGUUCUAUGCUUUUUUAUACUCGUUUUGGAACUCGACAAUUAUUUUAUUGUAAUAAAUUAUUUUGCUUAAUCCCUUUUGACUAGAGAAUUAAUCUUGUGAUUCAUGAUAAUCUAAGAACACAUCUUGUUGAAUAAAACCUACCAAGCCAUGUCACAUGUUUGCAUUGCAUCAUGGCAUGGUUUUCCUUGUAUUGGAUUGUGUGUUUAUGUGUGUGUAUGUUUGCUUUAUUUAGUUCUUCCGGAGUGCGAUGUUAGUUCGUGUGGCGAUUGUAACCUAUACUUCGGUGAAGAAGGCAAGUUCACUUUGAUCAUUAACCUAUUAUUUUACUGUGCACUAGAUGUUUUAUUAGCUGCAUUGAUAAGACUAUUAUUGUAUCUAUGCUAGUUAUGAAUUCCUAGUAGUGUAGAUUAUCCUUGCCAGUACCUUUCCACCAAUUGUCAUCGUAAAUAGUUGUAUGCUAUGCUAUGUUAGUAUCGUGGGUGGAAAUCCUACAUUAUGAUAUUAUUGAGGCUAUGGAGAAAAACUAUGUUUUCCUAAUGUAUGGCAAAACAAGUAAUUUAAUGAACCAUCCUGGGUGGGCUGCUUUGAGAUUUUGAGAUGUCAUGCGACGUCAGGUCCAUUUCUAUGGGUCGUCUCUCCGUGGAUUCGGGAGCGCCUGCGUCAGAAAUGUGGAAUGCCACCCGGGGUAUGCAGAGACUAGACUAGUUUCCUGUUUAGUAGCUUCCAGUACAACCACAUGCUAAUAUGGGCUCUGGCUUGACGGAGUAAGUUGUUUGCACCCAGAUCCGAGAGAUUGUGAUGAUGUAGAAUGGGUAGGUGGGAGCGCGGGUCCCUCAGGUGGUUUGGGGGAUUACUUCUAAAAUGUCUUGUAAUCGAUGCCAUUGCUACUCUAUCCUGAGGACAGCAAGGAAUUAACACGUCGAUUUCUUGUGGGUAAAGUAUACAACCUUUCGAGAGUGUCAAACUAAGUACUUAGCUGUGUCCCCGGUUAUAGACAAUUAUGAGCAGCUAGAUUUGGAAGCUGUAAGGAAGGUCUCACUCAUUCUAAUUUCCUAAUAAAAUGAACGGUUUGAACUUGGGAUAGGAGCAUUCAGUGUGUCUACCCGGUGUCCAAUAGAUUAAUAGGAGCAUUGGUGUGUCUACCUAAUGUCCAAUAGUGGAAAAACUAUUUCGUUUAAAAAUGAUAGGAUUAAACAAUGAAGCUUUUAUGCAAAUAGCCCAAACCCCCACCUAGCCAAAUUUUGCAUAUAAUUGACAGGUUUGUUAUAACACUUUAGUGAACUUGCCAAUACAUUCUAUGUAUUGACCCUCUAGUGGUUGCAAUGUCUAAUGUUGCAGGUGAACCAGGUGAAGAGUGAGGAACGUUUUGUUAGGGUUGCGAGUUUACAUUCCAACAUGUUUCGACUGUGGAGUUGUUAUGGGACUCCUGUAUCUUCUGCUUUUCGCUACAAGACUUUAUUUUCUUUUGAGCUAACCCAUGAGGUUAUGCAAGAUGUAGGGUACUAUUAAAUUCUGGAUCAAUGCGAUGUAAUAUACUUUUGACCUUUGUAUCUUGAUAUUACAUUUUGAAACUGUGUGUGUGCUAGUGAGUCGAUCCAGGGACUAGCACUGUAAGCACAGUGAUCAAACCCUAUAUGGGCACGGAUCACUUCAAAUGGUAUCAGAGCAUUGUGUUGCCAGUACGUUCGUGACCCUUAGAUUGGAAUUACCUUAUUAGGUACCUAAUUGCCAUAACAGAUUGUGCCUACUUGAGCUUGAAACCACUUUAAUAUUUAUUUUAGACCAUCAAAUAUACCUCUAAGUUUCACUAAUUCUAAGAAAUUGGGUCUACUUGGGCCUGAAAUCAUUUUGAUGUCUAUUGGUAGCUCAUCAAACAUACCGAUCUCGUUAGAUCUGAGCCGUUAGAUAUAAGAUCCAGUAGUUAAAAUAAUGAAGAUGAUGUGGAUCAACCUGAUGCCUCUUCUCACUACUCCUCAUAUUGCUCCUCAUAUUGCUUUUAAUAUAUAAUAGAUCGAUAGAUUUUCCUACUAACAUGCAGUUAAAAGAUUCUUACUUUCCCUUGGACAUUUUAAUUCAGAUGUAGAGUACCUCCAUACAGGAUGUACCCCGACCAUCAUCCAUAGAGAUCUGAAGACAAGUAACAUUCUGCUCGACAACGAUAUGAGAGCAAAGGUUGUAGAUUUUGGCCUAUCAAAUCCAAUGGUUGAUGGGGCUCCUGCAUCGUCAACUGGAGCUCAUGGGACAAUUGGUUAUUUGGAUCCAUAGUAAGGCUUUUCCCUCCAUCUCCUGAGGUUCAUACAUUCUUCCUUGGGAAAUUGAACUGAGGCACAAUGUUUCUUGUUUUCCUUUUUAUGAGUAGGUACUGUAUGUAUGGGCAGCUAACUGAGAAAAGUGACAUCUAUAGUUUUGGUGUCAUUCUACUUGAGCUUAUCUCAGGUGAAGAUCCAAUCCCCGGUGACAACUCUAGGCUCACUGGUUAUGAUGCCAUAGUCCCAUGGGUAAAUUUUGGACAUGUUUUCUUUAGUUUGUUAUUACCGGGUCUCUGCCUUUGCCCCUGACAAAUAAACUUGAAUUGUACAGGCUACAUCACAUAUGCUGAAAGGGGAAUGGACAUGAUCGUCGAUGGAUCACUAGUAGGGUACAACCCACGAUCGGGACCGUGGAGCCAGAGAUGGAGCAGAGGCAGUGGCACUGAGUUGCAUGGACGGAUUUAGUGGGGGGGGGGGGGCACAUGCCCCCCGGAGGGGCGCAUGGGGGCUUCUGCCCCCCCCCCCUAAUAAUUAUGUUCCAAAGAUAAAUUUAAUGGUAUUUGAGAGUAAAAAUUGUAACAAGGAACUGUCGAAUCGCACUCUGCCAUUGAGUCUUGUUGUGUUACAUAACUUCAACGAUGAUACUGGUAGUGAUGACUCAUGGACCUGUCCCCUUUAUGUGCCUGCAGCUCAUCUGAUCCCAGCUGCUGCUGAUGAUGAAGAUCCACUGCCGCCCAAUGGUGGAAACCCACACCCUACGUCUGCUGCUUUUCAUGAUAUAUGAAAUGAUCAAGAUGAACAUGUUCUACAUCCACCUUUCCCACACAACCCUGAGCCCCUCUUCCACCAACAGCACCACAAUGUCCAUCCUGUACCUGCUAUGUUUGCUGAAGGUGUUGCUCAUCAAGGGGCACAAGCCAAUGCUGCAGAUCAGGCCCCUGCUGACCUAGGAUUGAAGCACGACCUGGGCAUGGUGCCAAUGGUGAAAAGCAGUUACCAACUGAUUUGGCAGCAAAUCAGACGCCCAAUGUUGUGAUUGGAACGCAGCUUACUAACACGCCACCAUCUGCCACGAAUGGCAUGUUACAGGACAAGAGUAAACUACUUUAAGACCCAGUUGAUAUGUUGAAGAAAAUGGUUACUUCAAUGAUCUGUAGUGCUCCUGUUAUCAUUCCACAGCUUCAAGGCACUAGAAUUGUGAGGGACAACUGCAAAAUUGUUGAUGUCUCUGGUGUGGAGGGAACCACUAGGAAGUGCUUUAUUCGGGUGAAAAAUGUGCACUGCAACAAACUUGCUCAAUCUCAGAUGGGGAUCUCUGAAAUCUGAUUGACGAAGACGUGGUGGAGAUUGCUGAACCAGCUGACUUUCCCAAGUCUAGGCGCCGCAAGGCUUCCAAAGCUCCUAUUGAUGUUGCCAAUUGUCGUCGCAGCAAAAGGAUUGCAGAGCUCACUGCUGGCAUCAUCAGCCCUGAUGCACAUGCUAAAGCAUCAUCUUCCUCUACUGCCAGCAAUGCCUAAAACCUAGCACCAAAGUUUGAUGCUAUUGUUGUUGACGCCAAUGCUGCACCACCACCUCACCUGCCACUAGACGCCAUCCAAGCGAUUGGCUCCAAGGUCUGUAAGAUGUCGUACGUCUAUGACGAUAUCCAAGAAGGCUCUCCACUAUGACAGUUCGAAUGAAGAAUGAGUCCAUCAUGAUGGGUUGGUGCAGAAUCUCAAUUUGCUCAGUUAUCAGUCCUUUCAUUUCGUGUGCUAGGAUAGGACACAGUCAUAUUCAUAUUCACAUUUAGCUUUAUAUGUUGCUUUGAUUGGAACUUUAAGUUGUUAUGUGUUUUGCUAUUGUGUUAUGAUUGCUAUUAAAAUCUUUAUCCUAUAUCGUGCUUCUAGUGAUGAACCUUUACCACUUGUUGCCAUGUACUAAAUCUCUAGCUAGUAAUAUAUUUUAUCUAGCAAAGGACAUGAAAUUUCUCAUGUCCUUUGAACAGAACCCACAAUAAUGGUACAUGCAAACCUCGACCAAGACGACAUAGCGACAAAAUUGUUGAUGUCUCAAUCAUAUGUCCUAUUCACAUUUAGCUUUAUGUCCUAUUCACAUUUAGUUGGUGCACACAGUGGAGGAAGGCUGCGGCAGCAACCUAGCCCAUGGAUCGCCGGAGAGAGGAGAGGAACGAGAGCGAGGUGGGUACGGAGGCGGUGGCUGGUCCUCCGAGGUGGGGUUCUCUUUUUAUAUCGAGUGGACGAACAAGUACGGGGUGAGGGUUUUUCUUUCUUUAGCGUGCGGACACAGUGGAUAGGACGUACAACGGCGGGGGCGCCCGUAUCAUCACCAUCAACUGUAAUUUAAUAGAUAGUAAUAUAUUUGAUCAUGAAAUUUCUAGUUUCAGCUUUGAUAUUUUAAAUUGUUUAGGUGUUGAGACACUGUUUUUAUGGGUACAGGCAAAUAUUUUUGAAAUUCUAAACCUUUCAAUUUCAAAACACCAGUCCAUGUUAUGUGAAUUACUUAACAGACUCUUGUUUAUGGAUGUAAAAACAUUUCAAUUUUGUCCUUGUUAAGAUGAAGUUCUGUGAAUUGCUGAAUGAGCUCGCUCUUUUUUGUGAAUGAAACAAUAUUUCUGAAAAUCAAGAUGUUAGGCAAUAGGCCAUAAUAUAAAAUAAACAAAUUAGGUACUUCAUGAACUAAUAUACUUCUUCAGAACACCAAUAGAGCCAGAAGAAUAAUCUAAUAUUUCAGUGUUUUCCUUGGACUCCGUGAAUGUAUUUCUCAGCAGUAUAAAUAGCUCUGUUGAAGAAGUCGAUUAUUUAACUUCUGAGAAUGAAAACUGAUGGUGAUUAAUUCUUUGGACUGAAGGUUGCAGAAGCCUCUUGCCUGAAAUGGCGUCCAUCUUGAUUGAGGCGAAAUACUUGUGGAAGAGGAAGGAGCAAUGAAGCCCUCGGAGCGCCUGGAUUAUUAGUUUUGUUUUUACGCCUGUAAUGUUUCAGAAGUUGGAAUUUGCCUGGCAACAUUGUGUGUAUGAAUUUAGUAAUAUUUAGCGGCCUCCGUAUGUCGGAGCUUUGUCUAGA